GCUUAACACAUGCAAGUCGAGCGGAAAGGCCCCUUUGGGGGUACUCGAGCGGCGAACGGGUGAGUAUCACGUGAGUAAUCUGCCCUUCACUUCGGGAUAGCCUUGGGAAACUGAGAUUAAUACCGGAUAUGACCAUGUCACGCAUGUGGUGUGGUGGAAAGAUUUUUUGGUGGGGGAUGUGCUCGCGGCCUAUCAGCUUGUUGGUGGGGUAAUGGCCUACCAAGGCUUCGACGGGUAGCCGGCCUGAGAGGGUGACCGGCCACACUGGGACUGAGACACGGCCCAGACUCCUACGGGAGGCAGCAGUGGGGAAUAUUGGACAAUGGGCGGAAGCCUGAUCCAGCAACGCCGCGUGAGGGAUGACGGCCUUCGGGUUGUAAACCUCUUUCACCACCGACGAAGCGCAAGUGACGGUAGGUGGGGAAGAAGCACCGGCCAACUACGUGCCAGCAGCCGCGGUAAAACGUAGGUACCGAGCGUUAUCCGGAUUUACUGGGCGUAAAGCGCGUUC
rnacentral:rRNA from 1 species